GUGAGGAUGGCAGAGUGCUCGAAGGCGCUGCGUCCAGGUCGUAGUCUCUCCUGGAGGCGUGGGUUCAAAUCCCACUGCUAACA
rfam:Tetraodon nigroviridis, WGS project CAAE01000000 data, contig: CNS0BW0L, chromosome: undetermined